UGUUUACAAGCCAACUUUCGAGAGCUUGAAAAUUGUCGACAAACCGACGAAAUUCGUAAGAUAUAAUCAUGAGCGUAGGAUACCUCAUCGUACUCAAAUGGAGCUGGCGUACGGGAAGCAUCCAUAUAUCGUAUAAAAUGGAGCACUUAAACUCAGUGUGAAACAUAUAGUCAUUAUAUAAGGACUUGGUAGAAGAACCGGAAAUGAAUGCGCAAGUAGCGGCACCAAAAGAAUGACCAGCAACAAUCAAUUCUCCUUGAGCGGUAUUCAAAUUACCCUUCAUGGAUUGGAAAACAGAAUUAUAAAAAGAAGAGUCCACAGAGCAAAGAAAGGGUAAGUUUUCGUCCGGAGUUCCAAGGUCAUUGAUAUUUCGAAUCAUCUGGAGGGCUAUUUGGAUUUCCUGCUGUCGAAAUAAAAGUCGUUCAUUCUGAAGCACAACCGUAGCGUCUGCAUAAAAGUCGCUUAUCUCGCGAUACUGAACAACGUACGGGGGUUCUUCAGGAUGUAAUGGAUCACGCACUGUAGAUAUGAUGGCCGAGUUAUCUCUAUGCUCCAUGGCCAAGACGACGAUACCAUAGGAAGCGAUUGUACCACAUAACGAAGAAUACACAUUUCUCGAGCCAACCAAUCCAUGGCUGAAGAUAAAUACUGGCAGUUUCCCAUUGUUCGGUGGAUGAAACAACUCUCCUUUGUAGACGGGCAAAGCUAAGUUGGUCAAACCAGAAGCGAACGCACGAAGAAGCCACCAACGAAAACCUUUCGCAACUUCGGGUAUACCCUCAUGGAAUGGUAACCAAAGCUCAUCGGUGCGAGGCUCUACAUCUUUUGUUGGGUCCAAUGGAUAAAAAAUGCGUACUUUUACGGUUCUUAGUUUGUGUUCAAUGGUUUUAUAUUCACAUCGAAAUUCCUCUGGAACACUCAGCUCUAAGACUAAAGACCCCACAGGCAAGGGACCACAGUAGGCAGGUAAUUGCUU